UUUUCUGAAAAAUAGAUGUGCUCUCUUCAUAACAAAUAUAUGUAUCUCUGUUUUAAAUCCUAGGUUGCAAAAUAAAGAGCUAUGGCAUCUGCAUGUACUGCUAGUUCAUGACAAAUGAACAUUUAUUGUCCAUCUCUUCAAAUUGAAAAGACUGCAGAGCCUGAAUUACCUGCCACGUUAUGCUUCUUAUGAAACAUCAGCCAGCCUACAAAUAGAAGCUCCCUUUUCCAGCUUUAAGCAAGAGGAACCACAAUGGGAUACAGAUCUUGGUAUCAUGGACUGGUCACUUUUUACAACCAACACUACUUGUAAAAUAAGAUUUACAAAUUAAUUCCUAUAAGCUAUUAAAAAUGCUCUGGUCAAGGUACUAAAAUUUUGCCAUCGAGUUUGAGGUUUUGGGUUUGAUAAAAUGUUAACAUAAAAUAUUUUAAAGGAAGUAAACGUUUUAAUGAUACUUCCAAGAUUUCCUAUAUUUUAAACAGAAUUUCAGAAUCUUGCAGAAGAAAAGAGAAGAAAUAAAAGCUAUUAUUCUGUCAUGGAGGUUAUUGUUACCAAACUCACAUUACAUAGAUAAUUUUGUUCAUGGCAAUAAAUCUUAAAAUAUCAAAUUGGAAUUUCUUAAUUAGCAAUUCAUCUGAGCAGCAGUUUGAUGACCUAUUUGGAACUCUUCCUAGAGGCACUUCUUGCAUGACUAUGUAUCGAUAAUUACCUGUUGGUGCUUAAAGUGCUAUUGUAGCAAUUGCACAACAACAAAUACAAAAUAAACAACAGAACAUUGUGAUUGAGUGAAAACAGAUUUUUCCUGCAGGAAAUAUAUUAACUCUUACUUAUGUUGUCCUUAUAAUUUUUUGUCAAAGCUGAUAGAAAGGAAUUGAUGAUUAAUUUCAUAUAGACAAACUAUUGCAUCAAGAAACCACAUUCUCACCGACUGCGUGACCUUACAUGACGAUGUAUAUGAUCCUUAGAUUAACAACCGUAUGAGUAACAGAAAUAUUUGUGACAAGUAUUACUCUUUUAAUCUCCAUAAAGGUAACUCGAAUAGAGAGUGGCAGAUAUCAGCUGCAGUAGUUUUAACAACUGGCUGAUACUUUCAUAGGAGCACUUUUAUUUGUGUCAUUUAAAAUAUUGUAAUUGUAUCCCUUGAAUGUGUUUGCUAUGCUCAUCAUUUACAAAAUGUAGAUUUCAUUCAUUAAAGCAUAAACAUAUUGAUUAUACUUUAAAA